UACGUAGGGUGCAAGCGUUGUCCGGAUUUAUUGGGCGUAAAGAGCUCGUAGGCGGUUUGGCAAGUCGGGUGUGAAACCUCCAGGCUCAACCUGGAGUCGCCAUCCGAUACUGCUAUGACUUGAGUCUGGUAGGGGAUCACGGAAUUCCUGGUGUAGCGGUGAAAUGCGUAGAUAUCUGGAGGAACACCGGUGGCGAAGGCGGCAUCCUGGACCGGCAUUGACGCUGAUGAGCGAAAGCCAGGGGAGCAAACGGG
rnacentral:rRNA from 1 species